AUAAUUCGAUUUAUAUUAUUAUUUAAAAAUUUAUAUAUAGACUCUUUUAAAAUAAUUUUUAUAUUUUGCAUUAUUUGAAUGCUCGCUCAAAACUCAGAUAUUCAAAAUUUAAAUUUAAACAAAGCAAUCAAAAUAUAAAAACUAUAUAGAAAGUCAAAAGUAUUAGUGGACAAUAAAUUAUAAAUUUAAAUUUUGAGACAAAAAUAUAAUUAUAUAAACACUUCUAUAUAAAACUGCAUAAAUAAACUUUGACCUUAUCAAUAGCUCAACUUUUCUUAUCAUCAAAUUACAAAGGCAGCUGUGCGCCAUAGCGUGUUUUCACUGUGCCCCGACAAAAUCCCAUCUAAUGCCCCACAUUUACAUUUAUCUAAAUGUUAUUUUAAGCCCAAAUCUAAAUUGUUUAAAUAACACUUUGAUUUCCUUAUCUAGAAUUUAACGUUCACGUAUAAUUUAUUUAAAUACAUGCAUUAAAAUAUUAUUUGAUUGAUGUAUGAGUGUGCGGCGCGAACGGUAAUAAGACUCGCCCACGCACCUAGACAUUUGAUAGUUUUUUCUGAACCGUUGCAGCCAAACAGCCAAGUGAUAAAGACAAAGUGUUCAAGACAAAAUGUAAUAAAUAUAUAAUUAAAUAUACAACAAGAAAAACACCAAUAACAACAACAGCAAACGAAAACAAAAUCAAAUCAGUAACAAACAAAAAAAUUAUAUAUAAUAAUAAUGUUGAACAGCACUCAAAAGAUGUCAAGUCAAAGAUGCGCACAAUUAGCUUAAAAAAGACAACGACAACAGCAACAACAACAACAGCACGCAGAGCAAAUAAAUAAAAACAACAACAACAGCCAGAAUUUACAAGCAAAAGGAUAAUCACAAAAAAGCACAAGCAUAAAA